GAAGAGACUCCAGAGAACUCUCCUGCCUUCUGCCAUCUGAAGACACACCAGAAAAAAAGAUGUCUAUAAACCAGCAAGUAGGUCCUCACUGACAACAAACCUACUGGUACCUUGAUCUUGGACUUCCAGCCCCCAGAACUGUGAGAAAUAAGUUUAUGUUGGUUAUAAACCACUCAAUUUAUGAGAUUUUAUAAUGCCCAAAUGAACCAAGAUAGCUCUCCGCUCUUGUGAUAGGUUGAGAAAGGAGGAUCAUGUCCAGUGAGGCUAGUUUGGAAGAUAUCAAGACUCUAUCUAAGGAGGGAGAGAGAGAGAGAGAGAGACCAUUCAAAAAGAAUGGAUUUCAGUUUGACUCAAGAAGUUGUCUGGCAAUGAAAUGGACCACAGUGAUGAUAGCUUGCUGUCACAGAAGAUGAUUUAAGAAGAGACUGGACAAACCAUGUGUAGGAGGUAUCGUGAAGAAGACUUGAGUACCAGGCAGUAGUUUUGGCUCUGUAACUUCUAAUAUCCUGCACGAUUUUGAGAUUCUCUGGUUUGGUUUGAACGUGGCCUCUGUGAGAUUGUUGUAAGAGUCAAGCAUUCAGCCCCUUAAAGCACUCCCAGGCCUCACUCGGUAUCAAAGGACCAAUCACACUUGUACUCAGGUUUCCAUUUAUCUUUUUAAUGGGCCUGAAUUCAAGCAAAACGCUAAGACAGAAAUAUACUAAAAGCAAGAGAAAAGGCAUCUAUUUUCAAAUAGCAAAAUCAUAAAGAGCAGACAUGAGUCCUUCCACCACCACAGAGUAGGCUUUCUGACAAAUAAACAGAAUACAGAAGAAACUCUUACAGCACAAAGACGCUGUGGCAUGAUUGAAGUACCCAAGAAUAGGAUAAUUUCUCAUCCCACCUUUACUGUGUUUCAUUGGUCCAGGAUUCCAGGCACUGCAUCAUUAGAAAACUGCUAUUUCUGUACUUACAUCAGUAUUUCUAGUUUGAAAUGACUAGAGCUGUGAUUAUCUCUCAUCAGCUCUUGUGAAUGACUCUCACUUUACUUUUACUCAUAGAUGAAAACUUAUGGGAUAAUGUCUAAAUAUAAAAGGAAAUUGAAAACUGGAAAUGACAUCCUGAACCAGGCAUUAACCACACCAAAGAAGACAAGAUCACCUGUACUAACAACAGUUUGUGUAUCUCUUCCACCCAAAGCAUCAUAGUUCUAAGUGAAGGCAGGAAAAGAUCCCAGAUGGGCUAAGCGAGGAGACAUAAAUGUCUGCUAGGUAGUGAGCAUAUCAUCAGCUCUAAACUCUGAACAGAACUGAACAAACACCCAUGUUGGAAGAAAGCUGAACCAAGGAGAAAGCCCACUUUGUUGCCAUACUUUGGAUCUAGAUAAUUUUCUUCUCAUUUAAAAACUAAAAGUCUUUUUUUGCAUCACUAUACAUCAGGUACUGUGCUUAGUAGUAUUCAUGAAUUAUCUCAUUGAGUACUAAGAAUUAAUCCAUUAUAUGCAUAAAGGUUCCUGUUUGACAAAUGUUGAAACUUAAACUGAAAGGAUAUAAUCAACUAGCCCCCAACCACAAAAAGAAUCACUGGGAGGGCUAGGAUUUGAGUACAGACUGACAAAGAUGAGGAUCUUUACUUUUAAGAACUUCGUUGUAGUCAUGAAGAGAAAAAUAAAACUUUGUUACUCUGAAGACCAAACGGAAACAGAAUUUUGAAAAUUAUUUACCCUAAAAGCUCUAUAAACUUUCAAAACUACUUUCAAUUUAAAAGGUAACUGCAAGACAUUGCUUCUUGGAAGCCAAAGUGUAAAAUAAAGAUUGGAGAGGGUUAGAAUGAAAGGAAAAUUUAAACCUAAAUUCCACAAGUACUCACAAGAGGUAGUUCAGGCAGGACAGGGGAGUCAUAAAGUCAGGCCAGUGAGCAGAAGAUAAAGUUGAGAACAUCUUGUAAGAAUGCAAAAGAAAAAUCAUAGAUUAAGGAGUAACCCAUUUUCCAGUCCCCUUUCUGUUUCUCUUAGACAGAAGCUAUCUUUCUCUCAAUAAAUUUUUCCUACUCUAACAAAAAAAAGAAAAGAAAAAAACAUAGAUUAAAAAUGAAACCCUGUCUCAAAGUAAAAGAGGGCUGAGGUUGUAGCUCAGUGGUAGAGCACUUGCCUUACAUGUGUGAAGCUUUGGGCUUGAUCCUCAGCACCCCACUCUUCCCCCAAAGUUGCUAUAGUUAUAAAAGUUUCAAAUUAUUAAAAACACAGACUUCAUAAAGGAAGACCUUAACAUAGCUGGAGCUGAAGGAAUAUUUACAGGGACCAAUCUUCAUCACAGUCUAGCAAAAAUCAAUGAUAAAGAUCAAUACUAGAAUGCACCAUGGCAAUAUUUUAAAAUUCUAAGUACAAAAAUAAAAAAAAAAAACAACACAGAAAACAUGUGUGUCCAAGCUGAAAAUUCAUUGUUUCUUCAGAAGAAUGAAAGCAGACUGCUCUUGAAUUUCUUUGAAACUUUUCAAGUCCAAAUAAAAUGUUACAAAAUCUAUAGAUAUCAGAGAUGAUGACAAAAAUCUGGUAUUUUCCCAUGCAAUUAAGUUGUUAUGCUUGCAGGAAGACAAUAAAGUGAUAUCCUCCAACGGGGAAGAGUUUAGAAAACAAGCCCCUCAGAUGCUUUUCUCUAAAGAAACAGCCUGGGCAUAUACCAGAGGUAGCCAUAAAACAUAUCAAAAUGAAGAGGGAAAAGAUAUCAAAAGAGAGAACACAGAUGAAAAGGGCCAGCAGACUGGGCCACGGGUCACCAGCAGGCAUGGCAUACAAGUAUGCCUUUCUGAAGGUGACUAUCACCUUUGCGCAUCAGCUAAUUCUCUAUUUUCAUGGAAAGUGAACUCUGAUAAAACUCUGGAAUGAAACAGGGCAGAGAAUUGGAAGAGGUACACCAGAUUGUAUUGAAGCAAAAAUUCACCUGCUUCUGUCACAGGUCAUUGCAGUCAGACAUGAUUAAAAGUACUUAGAAGGGUACUAUACACUUAGAAAAUGCUUAAACAAAGUUGAAUGUUGAAUGCAUGAAUGAAAAAUGAAAUAUAUGGAUAGAUGGGGUGAGAAGUUAUAUUUAGAGAAGCCAUUGCUUUAGAAAAAUUCCUGGUGGUCUCAAUCAAAUCUUAGUGAACCCCAGAAUUUUAGUCCUAAACAUGCAAAGUUACAGGUGAAAACUAGCCACAAAUCAACAGAAAAACCUUGCAGUUUUUCCCUUUCAUUAUGUACCAAAGCCUUCUAAUUAUUGUUGCUAUCUCCUGCGCUGUAAAAUAUUUUAUCGGUUGUGCCACUUUGCAGCAUUUUGUCUAAAGCGCUUAACUGUCAUAAAUGCA